CGAGCACGCGCGUGUGGCAUAUCAAUAAGCGGAGGAAAAGAAACUAACAAGGAUUCCCUUAGUAACGGCGAGUGAAGCGGGAAGAGCUCAAAUUUGAAAUCUUCAAGGUUCUACCUUGACGAAUUGUAGUUUAUAGAAGUGUUUUCUGUUAGUGGAGUGGCAAAAGUUCUUUGGAAUAGGACAUCAUAGAGGGUGAGAAUCCCGUAUUUGGUCAUUCUUUCUAGCUUUGUGAUACACUUUCAACGAGUCGGAUUGUUUGGGAAUGCAGUCCAAAAUGGGUGGUAAAUUUCAUCUAAAGCUAAAUAUUGGCGAGAGACCGAUAGCGAACAAGUACCGUGAGGGAAAGAUGAAAAGAACUUUGAAAAGAGAGUUAAACAGAACGUGAAAUUGUCAAAAGGGAAGCGUUUGACACCAGUGUUGUUUUUCCGAAAAUCAAUUACGAAUGUUUUGUUUUUGAGGAGUUAUGACUUUAUCAGGCUUGCUGCUUUCUUUACGAAACUUAUUUAAUGCACUUUUCGGUUAACAAGUCAACAUCAAUUUCUUUUGUUGUAAAAGGGUAUGAGGAAGGUGGCUUUCUUUUCGGAGAGAGUGUUUAUAGCCUUGUGCCUCUGCAAUCGGAGAGAUUGAGGUCUGCAGCGUAGAUCCUUCGGGGUUAGAUACGUUUGUGCUAAGUUAUAGCUUUUUCAUAGACAACUUGUUGACUAUAUUUAGUCUUGUAGGCUUACUCGCUUACUGCUAUUUUACCUACGCUUAGGAUGUUGAGUAGCGACAUACGCAC
rnacentral:rRNA from 1 species